rnacentral:tRNA from 1 species
GCCAUGGUAGCUCAGUGGUAGAGCAGAGGACUGAAAAUCCUUGUGUCGGCAGUUCAAUUCUGCCCCGUGGCA